GUAGUCCUAGCCUUAAACGAUGAAUGCUUGGUGUCUGGGGUUAUAAAGUCCCCGGGUGCCGACGCUAACGCAUUAAGCAUUCCGCCUGGGGAGUACGGUCGCAAGACUGAAACUCAAAGGAAUUGACGGGGGCCCGCACAAGCGGUGAAGCAUGUGGUUCAAUUCGAAGCAACGCGCAGAACCUUACCAGCCCUUGACAUGCCACGACGGUUUCCAGAGAUGGAUUCCCUCCCCGCAAAGGGGGCGUGGACACAGGUGCUGCAUGGCUGUCGUCAGCUCGUGUCGUGAGAUGUU
rnacentral:rRNA from 1 species